rnacentral:rRNA from 1 species
GAUGAACGCUGGCGGCGUGCCUAAUACAUGCAAGUCGAGCGAACGGACGAGAAGCUUGCUUCUCUGAUGUUAGCGGCGGACGGGUGAGUAACACGUGGAUAACCUACCUAUAAGACUGGGAUAACUUCGGGAAACCGGAGCUAAUACCGGAUAAUAUUUUAAACCGCAUGGUUCAAAAGUAAAAGACGGUCUUGCUGUCACUUAUAGAUGGAUCCGCGCUGCAUUAGCUAGUUGGUAAGGUAACGGCUUACCAAGGCAACGAUGCAUAGCCGACCUGAGAGGGUGAUCGGCCACACUGGAACUGAGACACGGUCCGGACUCCUACGGGAGGCAGCAGUAGGGAAUCUUCCGCAAUGGGCGAAAGCCUGACGGAGCAACGCCGCGUGAGUGAUGAAGGUCUUCGGAUCGUAAAACUCUGUUAUUAGGGAAGAACAUAUGUGUAAGUAACUGUGCACACCUUGACGGUACCUAAUCAGAAAGCCACGGCUAACUACGUG